GUCCUUUAGGGAAGGGCACAAGCUAGGGACAUGCGGCGGGAAAGGUGGAGGCCCAGUUGGUGGCCCAAGAGGUGUCCCCAGCACACACUGACAGGAAAAAGAAGAAUCUAGAGGGAAGAUCGCGACCCUCACCAACCCCUCCUUUUGCAGUCACCAGCCAGUGGAGGGCACGAGGGACUGUGCCGUGCCACCCGCCUGUCAUGGGCCCGUUCACCCGAGUGCUACAGCCCAAGUUUCCUGCAGAGGACAGUGAAAGAGUCUCACCGUUUAUGAAUAAACUCCUUUGCCC
rnacentral:lncRNA from 1 species